rnacentral:ncRNA from 1 species
CAAAGGCUUGGUCCUGACUUUACUAUCAGCUUCAACCCAACUUAUACAUGCAAGUAUCCGCACACCCGUGAGAAUGCCCUCAAUCCCCCGUCCGGGGACGAGGAGCAGGCAUCAGGCCCUCUAUUAGAGCCCAAGACGCCUUGCUACGCCACACCCCCAAGGGUAUUCAGCAGUAAUAAACAUUAAGCCAUGAGCGAAAGCUCGACUUAGUUAAGGUUACUAGGGCCGGUAAAACUCGUGCCAGCCACCGCGGUUAUACGAGUAGGCCUAAGUAGAUAGCUACGGCGUAAAGCGUGGUUAGGACAUAAAAUAAAUAGAGUCGAAUACCCUCUAGGCUGUUAUACGCUUUUCGAGGUCACGAAGCCCCCUCACGAAAGUAACUCUAAACAACUUCCCCGAACCCACGAAAACUAAGAAACAAACUGGGAUUAGAUACCCCACUAUGCUUAGUUAUAAACAUAGAUGUCAAAUUACAACUAACAUCCGCCAGGGUACUACGAGCAUCAGCUUAAAACCCAAAGGACUUGGCGGUGCUUCAGACCCACCUAGAGGAGCCUGUUCUAGAACCGAUAAUCCCCGUUUAACCUCACCACCCCUAGCCUUCCCCGCCUAUAUACCGCCGUCGUCAGCUUACCCCGUGAGGGUCUAAUAGUGAGCACAAAGAGCCAGCCUCAAAACGUCAGGUCGAGGUGUAGCGAAUGAGGUGGAAAGAAAUGGGCUACAUUUUCUACAAUAGAAUACUACGGACAGCAAACUGAAAAAAGUGCUUUAAGGUGGAUUUAGCAGUAAAAAGAAAAUAGAGAGUCCUUUUGAAUUAGGCUCUGAAGCGCGCACACACCGCCCGUCACCCUCCCCUUCAACUCAGUACUAAGUAACUAACACUAAAGAUAAAAAUUAAGGGGAGGCAAGUCGUAACAUGGUAAGUGUACCGGAAGGUGCACUUGGAAAAAU